rnacentral:rRNA from 1 species
GGGUUGUGAGGUUAAGCGACUAAGCGUACACGGUGGAUGCCCUGGCAGUCAGAGGCGAUGAAGGACGUGCUAAUCUGCGAUAAGCGUCGGUAAGGUGAUAUGAACCGUUAUAACCGGCGAUUUCCGAAUGGGGAAACCCAGUGUGAUUCGUCACACUAUCAUUAACUGAAUCCAUAGGUUAAUGAGGCGAACCGGGGGAACUGAAACAUCUAAGUACCCCGAGGAAAAGAAAUCAACCGAGAUUCCCCCAGUAGCGGCGAGCGAACGGGGAGCAGCCCAGAGCCUGAAUCAGUGUGUGUGUUAGUGGAAGCGUCUGGAAAGGCGCGCGAUACAGGGUGACAGCCCCGUACACAAAAAUGCACAUGCUGUGAGCUCGAUGAGUAGGGCGGGACACGUGGUAUCCUGUCUGAAUAUGGGGGGACCAUCCUCCAAGGCUAAAUACUCCUGACUGACCGAUAGUGAACCAGUACCGUGAGGGAAAGGCGAAAAGAACCCCGGCGAGGGGAGUGAAAAAGAACCUGAAACCGUGUACGUACAAGCAGUGGGAGCACGCUUAGGCGUGUGACUGCGUACCUUUUGUAUAAUGGGUCAGCGACUUAUAUUCUGUAGCAAGGUUAACCGAAUAGGGGAGCCGAAGGGAAACCGAGUCUUAACUGGGCGUUAAGUUGCAGGGUAUAGACCCGAAACCCGGUGAUCUAGCCAUGGGCAGGUUGAAGGUUGGGUAACACUAACUGGAGGACCGAACCGACUAAUGUUGAAAAAUUAGCGGAUGACUUGUGGCUGGGGGUGAAAGGCCAAUCAAACCGGGAGAUAGCUGGUUCUCCCCGAAAGCUAUUUAGGUAGCGCCUCGUGAAUUCAUCUCCGGGGGUAGAGCACUGUUUCGGCAAGGGGGUCAUCCCGACUUACCAACCCGAUGCAAACUGCGAAUACCGGAGAAUGUUAUCACGGGAGACACACGGCGGGUGCUAACGUCCGUCGUGAAGAGGGAAACAACCCAGACCGCCAGCUAAGGUCCCAAAGUCAUGGUUAAGUGGGAAACGAUGUGGGAAGGCCCAGACAGCCAGGAUGUUGGCUUAGAAGCAGCCAUCAUUUAAAGAAAGCGUAAUAGCUCACUGGUCGAGUCGGCCUGCGCGGAAGAUGUAACGGGGCUAAACCAUGCACCGAAGCUGCGGCAGCGACGCUUAUGCGUUGUUGGGUAGGGGAGCGUUCUGUAAGCCUGUGAAGGUGUGCUGUGAGGCAUGCUGGAGGUAUCAGAAGUGCGAAUGCUGACAUAAGUAACGAUAAAGCGGGUGAAAAGCCCGCUCGCCGGAAGACCAAGGGUUCCUGUCCAACGUUAAUCGGGGCAGGGUGAGUCGACCCCUAAGGCGAGGCCGAAAGGCGUAGUCGAUGGGAAACAGGUUAAUAUUCCUGUACUUGGUGUUACUGCGAAGGGGGGACGGAGAAGGCUAUGUUGGCCGGGCGACGGUUGUCCCGGUUUAAGCGUGUAGGCUGGUUUUCCAGGCAAAUCCGGAAAAUCAAGGCUGAGGCGUGAUGACGAGGCACUACGGUGCUGAAGCAACAAAUGCCCUGCUUCCAGGAAAAGCCUCUAAGCAUCAGGUAACAUCAAAUCGUACCCCAAACCGACACAGGUGGUCAGGUAGAGAAUACCAAGGCGCUUGAGAGAACUCGGGUGAAGGAACUAGGCAAAAUGGUGCCGUAACUUCGGGAGAAGGCACGCUGAUAUGUAGGUGAAGUCCCUCGCGGAUGGAGCUGAAAUCAGUCGAAGAUACCAGCUGGCUGCAACUGUUUAUUAAAAACACAGCACUGUGCAAACACGAAAGUGGACGUAUACGGUGUGACGCCUGCCCGGUGCCGGAAGGUUAAUUGAUGGGGUCAGCGCAAGCGAAGCUCUUGAUCGAAGCCCCGGUAAACGGCGGCCGUAACUAUAACGGUCCUAAGGUAGCGAAAUUCCUUGUCGGGUAAGUUCCGACCUGCACGAAUGGCGUAAUGAUGGCCAGGCUGUCUCCACCCGAGACUCAGUGAAAUUGAACUCGCUGUGAAGAUGCAGUGUACCCGCGGCAAGACGGAAAGACCCCGUGAACCUUUACUAUAGCUUGACACUGAACAUUGAGCCUUGAUGUGUAGGAUAGGUGGGAGGCUUAGAAGUGUGGACGCCAGUCUGCAUGGAGCCGACCUUGAAAUACCACCCUUUAAUGUUUGAUGUUCUAACGUUGACCCGUAAUCCGGGUUGCGGACAGUGUCUGGUGGGUAGUUUGACUGGGGCGGUCUCCUCCUAAAGAGUAACGGAGGAGCACGAAGGUUGGCUAAUCCUGGUCGGACAUCAGGAGGUUAGUGCAAUGGCAUAAGCCAGCUUGACUGCGAGCGUGACGGCGCGAGCAGGUGCGAAAGCAGGUCAUAGUGAUCCGGUGGUUCUGAAUGGAAGGGCCAUCGCUCAACGGAUAAAAGGUACUCCGGGGAUAACAGGCUGAUACCGCCCAAGAGUUCAUAUCGACGGCGGUGUUUGGCACCUCGAUGUCGGCUCAUCACAUCCUGGGGCUGAAGUAGGUCCCAAGGGUAUGGCUGUUCGCCAUUUAAAGUGGUACGCGAGCUGGGUUUAGAACGUCGUGAGACAGUUCGGUCCCUAUCUGCCGUGGGCGCUGGAGAACUGAGGGGGGCUGCUCCUAGUACGAGAGGACCGGAGUGGACGCAUCACUGGUGUUCGGGUUGUCAUGCCAAUGGCACUGCCCGGUAGCUAAAUGCGGAAGAGAUAAGUGCUGAAAGCAUCUAAGCACGAAACUUGCCCCGAGAUGAGUUCUCCCUGAC